rnacentral:rRNA from 1 species
UGGGGAAUAUUGGGCAAUGGGCGAAAGCCUGACCCAGCAACGCCGCGUGAAGGAAGAAGGCUUUCGGGUUGUAAACUUCUUUUCUCAGGGACGAAGCAAGUGACGGUACCUGAGGAAUAAGCCACGGCUAACUACGUGCCAGCAGCCGCGGUAAUACGUAGGUGGCAAGCGUUAUCCGGAUUUACUGGGUGUAAAGGGCGUGUAGGCGGGGAAGCAAGUCAGAUGUGAAAACCACGGGCUCAACCUGUGGCCUGCAUUUGAAACUGUUUUUCUUGAGUACUGGAGAGGCAGACGGAAUUCCUAGUGUAGCGGUGAAAUGCGUAGAUAUUAGGAGGAACACCAGUGGCGAAGGCGGUCUGCUGGACAGCAACUGACGCUGAGGCGCGAAAGCGUGGGGAGCAAACAGGAUUAGAUACCC